UACGUAGGGGGCAAGCGUUGUCCGGAUUUAUUGGGCGUAAAGAGCGUGUAGGCGGCCAGGGAGGUCCGUUGUGAAAACUCGAGGCUCAACCUCGAGACGCCGAUGGAAACCCCCUGGCUAGAGUCCGGAAGAGGAGAAUGGAAUUCCUGGUGUAGCGGUGAAAUGCGCAGAUAUCAGGAAGAACACCCGUGGCGAAGGCGGCCCACUGGGCCGGUACUGACGCUGAGGCGCGAAGGCGUGGGGAGCGAACGGG
rnacentral:rRNA from 1 species